AAUAGAUACCCAGGUAGUCCACGCCCUAAACGAUGUCUACUAGUUGUCGGGUCUUAAUUGACUUGGUAACGCAGCUAACGCGUGAAGUAGACCGCCUGGGGAGUACGGUCGCAAGAUUAAAACUCAAAGGAAUUGACGGGGACCCGCACAAGCGGUGGAUGAUGUGGAUUAAUUCGAUGCAACGCGAAAAACCUUACCUACCCUUGACAUGUCAGGAACCUCCGAGAGAUUGGAGGGUGCCCGAAAGGGAGCCUGAACACAGGUGCUGCAUGGCUGUCGUCAGCUCGUGUCGUGAGAUGUUGGGUUAAGUCCCGCAACGAGCGCAACCCUUGUCAUUAGUUGCUACGCAAGAGCACUCUAAUGAGACUGCCGGUGACAAACCGGAGGAAGGUGGGGAUGGCGUCAAGUCCUCAUGGCCCUUAUGGGUAGGGCUUCACACGUCAUACAAUGGUACAUACAGAGGGCCGCCAAACCCGCGAGGGGGGAGCUAAUCCCAGAAAGUGUAUCGUAGUCCGGAUCGCAGUCUGCAA
rnacentral:rRNA from 1 species